rnacentral:rRNA from 1 species
GAUGAACGCUAGCUACAGGCUUAACACAUGCAAGUCGGGGGGAAACGAUAGAGAAAGCUUGCUUUUUCUAGGCGUCGACCGGCGCACGGGUGAGUAACGCGUAUCCAACCUGCCCAUCACUUGGGGAUAACCUUGCGAAAGUAAGACUAAUACCCAAUGAUAUCUCUAGAAGACAUCUGAAAGAGAUUAAAGAUUUAUCGGUUAUGGAUGGGGAUGCGUCUGAUUAGCUUGUUGGCGGGGUAACGGCCCACCAAGGCGACGAUCAGUAGGGGUUCUGAGGGGAAGGUCCCCCACAUUGGAACUGAGACACGGUCCAAACUCCUACGGGAGGCAGCAGUGAGGAAUAUUGGUCAAUGGGCGAGAGCCUGAACCAGCCAAGUAGCGUGCAGGAUGACGGCCCUAUGGGUUGUAAACUGCUUUUAUAAGGGAAUAAAGUGAGCCUCGUGAGGCUUUUUGCAUGUACCUUAUGAAUAAGGACCGGCUAAUUCCGUGCCAGCCGCCGCUGUAA